rnacentral:rRNA from 1 species
GCACAAGCAGUGGAGUCUGUGGUUUAAUUCGACGCAACGCGAAGAACCUUACCAAGUCUUGACAUCCCUUGACGAUACUGGAAACAGCAUUUCUCUUCGGAGCAAGGAGACAGGUGGUGCAUGGUUGUCGUCAGCUCGUGUCGUGAGAUGUUGGGUUAAGUCCCGCAACGAGCGCAACCCUUAUGGUCAGUUACUACGCAAGAGGACUCUGGCCAGACUGCCGUUGACAAAA